AUGUGUCAGCAGAUGUUUCGAUCGGUUCCUUAUUUUCUUUAUUUCAACAGAAACGCAAGUGCUUUGAGAACAAUGCAAAGAGGCUUUAUUUUUCUACUGAUUAUAUGGAACAUACACAUUUUUGCUGCAAGACACACCACAAAUGACCUUCAAGUCAUGCUGGGAUGUCGAGCUGUGAUACCAUGUCAACGGGACAAAAGUGACUCAACCUCUUUCAAGUGGUUGUACAAGAAAGAUGAACAUAGUGAAAAAAUCGAUUUAUUUGUUCAAGAGAUGAAAGGAGUAUCACGCCAUCAUGAACUUUUUCGUACCAGAAUGACAGUGCUGUCCAACGGUUCCCUGCUCAUUCAUCAUCUAACAGAGGAGGAUCAAGGCAUUUACUGGUGUGAAAUUUGUAUUCGAGACAAGUGUGGGGAUAAACAGAGCAAAACUAUUCUGAUGAAAGCAACUCUGAAAGAAACAUAUACAACAAUCGACGCUGCUGCGGGCAGCAAUUUUACUCAUCCCUCCUGUUCCGGUCAACUGACGGACUUAAAAUGGACUUUUGAAGCAAGUAGCAUAAAUUCAAUACAAAGACCGGAAUCAGACAUUGUGACUUCCAACAAGUCUAUACGCAUUGUAAAUGUGGAAAAAGCAGAUGCUGGGAAAUAUACGUGUUGGACAAGUCGAUGUGACGGACACUGGCAGAAGCUACUUACUAUCAACUUGUGUGUAUUUACAGUACACAGUGAGGAGUCACCUGUUUCUUGUGAUAUGCUGUGUGACAUGGAUUUCAGUGACAUCAAACCCAACAACGCAUUCAAUGUGAAGACAGAAACAAGGACGGUGACUGUAGAUCAGUAUGGGUCUUUAAACUGCAGCACAAAGCGGGUUUUUGAUGGAAACCUUACAGUUCGUAGCACUCAAGGACCAUUUAAUGCUUUAACUACAACAACAGAUACACCUACAGAACGUGGAAAUCAAAUUGUUAUUUAUGGAACGACUGCAGCAGCCCUUAUAUGUCUUAUUUUAUUGGCACUUUUAAUUUGCUUCCUUAGACCAAGAUUGCGAGCAGCGUUUCCUAUUCACCCGCGUUGCUGUGGCUUCAAAGGAAGGGCAGAAGAGGAGACUUCAGUGGUUUAUUCAUCAAUCGUCAUCAGGAGACCUGCCCAGACAACAGACAUCCAUAUGACUUACACUGAAUGUUUGUAUAGUGAAUUAAAAUUUGAGAAAGAAGGGUCUUAAAUCAACGGUGUCCACAAAUCCCACUCACCCACUUCAAUGAUCAUCCCCACCCCCACUUUUCUACAAUGAAGUAAUUGAUUCCUCAAAAAAUGACUUGUCUUUUUGGUGAAAAUUGUUUGUGAGUUCACCCACUCACGUCUCAUGGGAAAGUUUGAGGCAUUAGAUCUUUUCUGAUUAGGAACUUUCCUAUUUGAGUGAAGUGACCCAAAUGAGCCGUCUACACAAUAAAAAAUGUACGCUAUUAGACUGUCUGUCUCCUUUUUUUUCUUUCACCGACAAAACACAGUUCUUUCCGCUUCUUAAAAUAGACGGCACAUUUCAGAUGUUCCAAGACAAAAUAUCUAUAUUGGUACAGAUGAACUUUGGGCUGGACAUGUAUUUUACAUUUAUGCACGCACUGUUGUAUUUAGCUACAUUUUAUGGGUAUAUCAUAAUUUAUUUAAGGCUGCUUACACACUGUGCUGGAAAGCAACUAAGCCUGUUUACUUAGUAUUUCCAUUUCAUGAUAAUUUACACUUCUACUUCGCUGCAUCUUAUAGAGAAAUACUAUACUUUACAUUCCAUUUGAUUUAUCUGAGAGUGGUAAUUACUUUACAGAUUCAGACACUAAAUAUUAAACCUAUGAUCAUCUUAUGAAAUAUCUUUGUUUUUAUGCUAUACAAGACCAUAUGAAGCAGUCAAAAUCAUCUCCACCUCAGACAGCUACAACAAGUAUUAUGGCUCGCAUAUUAAACAGUAACAAGCAGCAGUAAUAAUUAAACAAUUAUAUACAUAAUGGCUUUAUAAAUUGAAGGGCGUAUUUACUUUGAUUCUUUAAGCAUGUGCUGGUGAAAACUUCUACAUUUUAGGAAGAUUUGGGAUGCAUCGCUUACAUACUGUCUUACACGUGAACGCAUCAUUAAUGAUAAUGCCCACACGCUGAAAGGGGGACGUUAGAGUGAUACUAUUUUACGUUACCUACUUGGGGGAAAAAUGUCGUGUACAGGGCUUUCACUUUGCAUAGGCAGCUGAGUUGAGUAAUAACUAAUUUUUCCAUCACUCGCUGCCCAUGAAAAUAGCUGUGCUCGAGUCCAGCAGGUGGCUGUAAUGCGCCUCGAAGUUGGAUGCUAACCAUCGCGAAACGAACAAGAGAGAGAAAU
ensembl:lncRNA